UACAGAGGGUGCAAGCGUUAAUCGGAUUUACUGGGCGUAAAGGGCGCGUAGGGUGGUUAUUUAAGUGAGAUGUGAAAGCCCCGGGCUCAACCUGGGACUGCAUCUUAUACUGGGUAACUGGAGUACAUGAGAGGGUAGUGGAAUUUCCGGUGUAGCGGUGAAAUGCGUAGAUAUCGGAAGGAACACCAGUGGCGAAGGCGGCCUGCUGGGCAGUUGCUGACACUGAGGCGCGACAGCGUGGGGAGCAAACAGG
rnacentral:rRNA from 1 species